CCUACGGGAGGCUGCCGUGAGGAAUAUUGGUCAAUGGACGAGAGUCUGAACCAGCCAAGUAGCGUGAAGGAUGACUGCCCUAUGGGUUGUAAACUUCUUUUAUAUGGGAAUAAAAUGUUCCACGUGUGGGCUUUUGUAUGUACCAUAUGAAUAAGGAUCGGCUAACUCCGUGCCAGCAGCCGCGGUAAUACGGAGGAUCCGAGCGUUAUCCGGAUUUAUUGGGUUUAAAGGGAGCGUAGGUGGAUUGUUAAGUCAGUUGUGAAAGUUUGCGGCUCAACCGUAAAAUUGCAGUUGAAACUGGCAGUCUUGAGUACAGUAGAGGUGGGCGGAAGUCGUGGUGUAGCGGUGAAAUGCUUAGAUAGCACGAAGAACUCCGAUUGCGAAGGCAGCUCACUGGACUGCAACUGACACUGAGGCUCGAAAGUGUGGGUAUCAAACAGGAUUAGAUACCCUGGUAGUC
rnacentral:rRNA from 1 species